AAAGUAAGGGCGUAUGGGGAAUGCCUAGGCUCUCAGAGGCGAAGAAGGACGUGAUAAGCUGCGAAAAGCUACGGGGAUCGGCACACACGAUAUGAUCCGUAGAUAUCCGAAUGGGGCAACCCGGCAUAUUGAAGAUAUGUCACCACGUAAGUGGAGCGAACCCGGAGAACUGAAACAUCUAAGUACCCGGAGGAGGAGAAAACAAAAGUGAUUCCGAUAGUAGCGGCGAGCGAAAUUGGAUUAGUCCAAACCGUACAUGUUUCGGCAUGUGCGGGGUUGUAGGACCACGAUAUUCGAAAUGUAAUGAACUAGAACGCUUUGGAAAUAGCGACCAUAGAGGGUGAUAGUCCCGUAUGGGUAAGAAAUGUUAUUGGUAGUGGUAUCCUGAGUAGGGCGGGGCACGUGAAACCCUGUCUGAAUCAAGCGGGACCAUCCGCUAAGGCUAAAUACUCCUGAGAGACCGAUAGUGAACUAGUACCGUGAGGGAAAGGUGAAAAGAACCCUGAAUAAGGGAGUGAAAUAGAUCCUGAAACCAUACGCUUACAAGCGGUCGGAGCUGACUUGAUCAGUGACGGCGUGCCUUUUGCAUAAUGAGCCUACGAGUUACUUUAACUAGCAAGGUUAAGCACUUCAGGUGCGGAUCCGUAGCGAAAGCGAGUCUGAAUAGGGCGCUAUAGUUAGUUUGAGUAGACGCGAAACCGUGUGAUCUACCCUUGGGCAGGUUGAAGCUGUGGUAACACAUAGUGGAGGACCGAACCCGUUGACGUUGAAAAGUCUUGGGAUGACCUGAGGGUAGGGGUGAAAGGCCAAUCAAACUCGGAAAUAGCUCGUACUCCCCGAAAUGCAUUUAGGUGCAGCGUUGAUUUAUAGUUUUAUAGAGGUAGAGCUACUGAUUGGAUGCGGGGGCUUCACCGCCUACCAAUUCCUGACAAACUCCGAAUGCUAUAAAAUGUUAAUCAGCAGUGAGGGCAUGGGUGCUAAGGUCCAUGUCCGAGAGGGAAAGAACCCAGACCAUCAGCUAAGGUCCCCAAAUGUAUGUUAAGUUGAAAAAACGCGGUUGAACUGCUUAGACAGCUAGGAUGUUGGCUUGGAAGCAGCCAUUCAUUUAAAGAGUGCGUAACAGCUCACUAGUCGAGCGGUUCGGCAUGGAUAAUAAUCGGGCAUAAACAUACUACCGAAGCUAUGGGAUCCUGCAAGAGCAGUGAUCGGUAGGGGAGCAUUCUAAUUGUGUUGAAGGUGUGCUGUGAGGCAUGCUGGAACGGUUAGAAAAGAAAAUGUAGGCAUAAGUAACGAUAAUGCGGGCGAGAAACCCGCACACCGAAAGACCAAGGUUUCCUCAGCUAUGCUAAUCAGCUGAGGGUUAGUCAGGGCCUAACGCGAACCCGAACGGGGUAGUGGAUGGACAACGGGUUAAUAUUCCCGUACCUGCUCACGCUAAAAGUGACGGAUUCGAAAAGUUGGUGCGCACAGACGGAAUUGUGCGUUGAAGGGAAGGGUAACCUCCCGAUAGUACACUAAGGCUACGGCUGCGGUGAUAAUCCAGCAAAUCGAGUUCCAAGAAAAGCAAGUGAAGCAGCCUGUACCGUAAACCGACACAGGUGGUUGGGAUGAGAAUUCUAAGGUGCUCGAGAGAUUCAUGGCUAAGGAACUAGGCAAAAUCGACCCGUAACUUCGGGAGAAGGGUCGCCCAUCUUUUAGAUGGGCCGCAGUGAAGAGGUCCAGGCGACUGUUUAUCAAAAACACAGGGCUCUGCUAAAUGGAAACAUGAAGUAUAGGGCCUGACACCUGCCCGGUGCCGGAAGGUUAAGAGGAGGGUUUAGCUUCGGCGAAGAUCUGAAUUGAAGCCCCGGUAAACGGCGGCCGUAACAAUAACGGUCCUAAGGUAGCG
rnacentral:rRNA from 1 species